UACGUAGGGAGCAAGCGUUGUUCGGAUUUACUGGGCGUACAGGGCGCGUAGGCGGUUGGAUAAGCCCUCCGUGAAAUCUCCAGGCUUAACCUGGAAAGUGCAGAGGGGACUGUUCAGCUAGAGGAUGGGAGAGGAGCGCGGAAUUCCCGGUGUAGCGGUGAAAUGCGUAGAGAUCGGGAAGAAGGCCGGUGGCGAAGGCGGCGCUCUGGAACAUUUCUGACGCUGAGGCUCGAAAGCGUGGGGAGCAAACAGG
rnacentral:rRNA from 1 species